UACGGAGGGUGCAAGCGUUGUUCGGAAUCACUGGGCGUAAAGGGCGUGUAGGCGGUCCUCUAAGUCUGAUGUGAAAGCCCGGGGCUCACCCCCGGAAGGGCAUUGGAAACUGGCGGACUCGAGUCUCGGAGAGGAAGGUGGAAUUCCUGGUGUAGCGGUGAAAUGCGUAGAUAUCAGGAGGAAUACCGGUGGCGAAGGCGGCCUUCUGGACGAUGACUGACGCUGAGACGCGAAAGCGUGGGGAGCAAACAGG
rnacentral:rRNA from 1 species